CCUACGGGAGGCAGCAGUGGGGAAUAUUGGGCAAUGGGCGCAAGCCUGAACCAGCAACGCCGCGUGAAGGAAGAAGGCUUUCGGGUUGUAAACUUCUUUUGACAGGGAAGAGUAGAAGACGGUACCUGUCGAAUAAGCCACGGCUAACUAAGUGCCAGCAGCCGCGGUAAUACGUGGGUGGCAAGCGUUGUCCGGAUUUACUGGGUGGAAAGGGCGUGUAGGCGGGUUGACAAGUCAGAUGUGAAAGCCUGCGGCUUAACCGCAGAACUGCAUGUGAAACUGUUUAUCUUGCGUACUGGAGAGGCAGACGGAAUUACUAGUGUAGCGGUGAAAUGCGUAGAUAUUAGGAGGAACACCAGUGGCGAAGGCGGUCUGCUGGACAGCAACUGACGGUGAGGCGCGAAAGCGUGGGGAGCAAACAGGAUUAGAUACCCUUGUAGUC
rnacentral:rRNA from 1 species